GCCCGCCUAGCUCAAUUGGCUAGAGCGUCAGACUUUUAGGGAAGGGCAUCUGAAGGCUGCGAGUUCGACCCUCGCGGUGGGCU